AACCUAAAUCAGACAGGUUGAUAGUG
rnacentral:piRNA from 1 species